rnacentral:rRNA from 1 species
UACGAAGGGGGCUAGCGUUGCUCGGAAUCACUGGGCGUAAAGCGCACGUAGGCGGAUUGUUAAGUCAGGGGUGAAAUCCUGGAGCUCAACUCCAGAACUGCCUUUGAUACUGGCUAUCUCGAGUCCGGGAGAGGUGAGUGGAACUGCGAGUGUAGAGGUGAAAUUCGUAGAUAUUCGCAAGAACACCAGUGGCGAAGGCGGCUCACUGGCCCGGUACUGACGCUGAGGUGCGAAAGCGUGGGGAGCAAACAGG